UGUAGGCGGCUUCGUAAGUUGGGCGUGAAAGCUCCGGGCUUAACCCGGAGAGGCCGUCCAAUACUGCGGAGCUCGAGGGUGCCAGAGGAAGGUGGAAUUCCUGGUGUAGCGGUGAAAUGCGUAGAUAUCAGGAGGACACCCGUGGCGAAGGCGGCUUUCUGGGGCAUUCCUGACGCUGAGAAGCGAAAGCUAGGGGAGCAAACAGGAUUAGAUACCCUGGUAGUCCUAGCCGUAAACGAUGGAUGCUAGGUGUUGGCGGCAAAAACCCGUCAGUGCCGAAGCUAACGCGUUAAGCAUCCCGCCUGGGGAGUACGGCCGCAAGGCUAAAACUCAAAGGAAUUGACGGGGACCCGCACAAGCAGCGGAGCGUGUGGUUUAAUUCGAUGCUACACGAAGAACCUUACCCAGGCUUGACAUGCAGGUAGAGUGAACCGAAAGGGGAACGCCCGCAAGGGAGCCUGCACAGGUGUUGCAUGGCUGUCGUCAGCUCGUGUCGUGAGAUGUUGGCUUAAGUGCCCUAACGAGCGCAACCCUUGCUGCCAGUUACACGUGUCUGGCGGGACUGCCGGUCACAAGCCGGAGGAAGGCGGGGACGACGUCAAGUCAUCAUGGCCCUUACGUCCAGGGCGACACACGUGCUACAAUGGGGGGGACAACGGGUUGCAACCGGGCGACCGGAAGCCAAUCCCUCAAACCCCCCCUCAGUUCAGAUUGGAGUCUGCAACUCGACUCCAUGAAGCCGGAAUCGCUAGUAAUC
rnacentral:rRNA from 1 species